AGAACAUACGGAACAAUUGAAUCAUUAUCUUCCAAGCGGCUCUGAAAAUCUAUUUUUCUAUUUCAUCUGCCGCAGCAUUCGAUUUCUGAGGAUUCAAACAAGGGCUCCGCCUAAAGGUUCAGCCAAGUCACAGUUUAAAUUAAAAGAGCUCUUUGCUAGACUAGCGUUGCACUCCUGUUUGUUCACGACUGAUGGUUUUGGAUAAAAUAUCGACGAUGAGCAGCCAGUUAUUAUGUCUUUGUUCUUCCACACUUCCUUCCUGUUUGUUGCAACCCGGUGCUCGCGUUACCCACAAUGCCACAGGACCGUUCCGCGCUUAGCCGGAGAUUUGGCUGCGUUUUGCAAGCUAGCAUAGCGUAGCCUCGCCCCGUUAGCCUCCGGCCCGGAAGACAGAGGUUUGAUGAGCUCACAAAUCAUACUUUAAGAAAGCGAGACUACACAAAAAUAUGCCAUGAACCCUGCAGGUUAACGCAACUGAUUCUCUCCCUGGGAUUUACUCUGUGGUUUAUACUUAUAUAUAAGUAUAUACUUAUAGCUUCAGAUGGAAGUACAAAAUAAAAGCUCAUCCGUAGUUUAUUAUUUUCUUCAUUAAAACAAGAGAGAGAAGCUUUAAUUCCAGAGAGAGAAGAUAAAAUACUGAACCUGGAAGCUGAAAAACCUGAACUUGGUCCUCCGUCCGUCGUCCUCGUCCUCUUCCUUCCAAAGAGAAGAACCCGGUCAAGACGGCGCUAUUAACAGCUGUUCGCGCCACCUUGCCGGUCUGGCUCUUUAUUGAGCCUGAAGGUAGCUGUAACCCGGCGCCCGUCACACUUUGUGGUAAACAAACAAAUGAACCCUGAGCACAGCAGGAAUCUGCUGCUUGUUUGUUUUGUUGUUGUUGCGUGUGGCGAAUCGCAAUCGUGCAGACGGGAUACGCGGACGGUAACGCCACUCUGUCCGCGCCAAGAAGCCGCAAACAGAAGGUUUACAAAGUGGCCCCGGGCCGGAGGUGAUUGGGCACAGGUGAACUCUCAAUGCAUAAGCUGUGUUGGUGAGAGGAAGCCUCAACCAUAACCGUUGGUCCUUCUUGUCUUCAUCUACCUUUGUACUCGAGAAAAUACACAAUGAAAUCAGGUACAAAAGGAAAUAAGUGCUUGCUGGUAGCCACCAAAAAGGAAAAUCUUCAUCAUGAGCUCUUUUUGUCAGUGAAAAGAGAUGUUUCCCAACCUAUCGAGUAAUACAUUUUAUAAUCAUAUAUUUGAGCAUAUUUAAUAAUAACACCUGAACGUGUGUGUGUUUGAGAAGCACUCGUACGACGUGGCUGCUUUUUCUCGUCCUCACAAUCUAUUUUCAAGGCAAUAACCAAAGUUGCUUGUUGAAGAAAGUAUUUCAAAUAUACUUUUAAUUGUAUGUUUUUUGGAUAUUGCAGAGGGGGAAAAAAAGCGCCACAUACCUGGCUCCAUCCAUCUAAUAUGAAUUCAUAGUGUGAUACCUGGAGUUUAUUAAUUCAGGGCCACAGAGACAGCUGAAUAAUGAAAUUUAAUGAAAAUUUUAGAUGGACUAAAAGUCAGACUGCUUCGGUCAUUAAUUUUAAAAGCACACAUACCGUCAGUCGCACGGUAAUGAUAAAUUCCUACAUUGGGCUUCAUGCCAUGAAGUUUAGUAACUAUACUGCCUAGAAAGGACUCCAGUGGAAUCCAAGGUCCCAGGAUAUGAAAUAGAUUUCCAGAAAAUUAGCACAAUUUGAAAAUAGUUUACUUUAAAGUUGAAGUAGGGACUGAAGGAAAAGGUUUUUUUUGUUUGGGGAAAUAACAGAUUAUUAAAAACAAAUCAAGGACCUCUAUAACUUUAUUAAAACAUUUCAAAUGACACUUUGUUUUUCUUUAAAAGGGCAAAAGGAGUAUGCAUCCCCUUCCAAAGUAAUAUCUCAUUAUGCUGCGUUGGACAGGUUGUCCUUCAUAACAGUUUGCAGGAAGAAUUUAACAUGUGUAACCUAUAAAAAUAUGUAUGAUUGAUAAGAAUAUAAUGUUUUUCUGCGGUCUGUUGAUUCUUUUAGCACAUGUGGCCAUUGUAGGUAAAAAAUAAUGUCUUAUAUUACGAGAAAAAGUAUAAAUUCCUAAUUCUACAUUUUUGCCAUUUAAAGUACAAUAUAUUGUUUCCCAGCUGUCUGGUUAUUAUUUUCUUUUUUAAAGUUGACAUUCGGACGAUAUGUAUAUAUGAUAUAAAAAUAGUGUGGACAUACAGUACCUAUUCCUUUUUUCUAACCCCAUAUCAUUUUUGUACUGUCCCUUAUGUGGACUUACUAAUUGGUGAUGUAUUCUUGCAUGUUACUUUUUGAAUUGUUACUAUUAAAUAAAUCCUAUUUUCAGAUGAACUGACAUGUAUCCAAAGUUGAACUGGCUGAUUGCGUACAAGCAGAGUCUGAUGGCACCACUACGGAGGACAAACUGGCCCACGCAUUACGUUCCUCUGAAGACAAAAGGUGGAGGAAGUCGCAAUAAAUCACUUGUGUACAAGCAACCGCCCUAAUUGUUUAUUACUUCUGGUGCUGCUGCAGCUCGCUGUGGCAUCGCUGAGCAACAACUUCGCAAACUCGUUUCUUCAAAGUGAACCUUUUAAAACCUUCCUGUGACCCUUUUCUUUUUUUGCUUCCAACAAAAUGUGAAAUGUGUUUUUUAAAUUGUCAAAGCGUUAAAAAACUGACCAAUUUCUGGUCAGAAUAAUAAACAUGAGCAAAUCAACUGGGUUUUAGACGUGAGCAGGAUGACAUCCUCUCAGAAAUAGCAUUUUAUAUUUAUCUUGAAUUCAUCUGUUUAAAAGAAAUUCACAUUAUCUACAUUUUCAGACAUCUUCAAAAUGAAUGGUGUUAUCAAAUUAAGUGAAGAGACAAGUUGCAUUCAGUAAACAUAAAGCAAAAUAUAUAUCUUAAGUGAUAAUUUUUCCGCCUGGUGGCCUUCAGUCCUUUUUUCUUUUUCCAUUCGAGCCCAAUGUUUGUGUAAGUACACGGGGAGAAGCUUUUUCAAUAAGCGACUGAAUGAAUAAAGGUGGCCUUGUUAGACAACAUCGCUAAGCACCAUCCUCUGCCCGCCUUUAUUUGCUCACCCUCCUUUUGUCCGUGUUCCUCAUAAUGUAUUGAGCCGGCUCAAUGGGUCCACUACCAACCACCGAAAAGGAUGCUGGCAGGAGAGUAAAUCCACUCAGAUCCCCGUGGUGUACUCAUCCUACCUCACGGCCCGUGGACCUGCCACCAUACCUCCGGCCCAGCGUGGGCUGCACUCAGCCAAGCGUGGUGCUAUUGGACCGGCCGCGGAAAGCCCGGUGUACUCUGACCCCGGAGGAGAUUGGAUCCUCGGUCGGGCGGGAACUUAGCGGCGCCCGGCUCCUGGCCGUGGCAUAAUGUGUUAGUUGAGGACGGAUAAGAUUCCGGGCCGCAAUGAAUCCGGAGUCAAUAGAAUGAAGACGGGAUGAUCCGCUUCACCUUUCCUGAGGCGGUUUCAGUGGGGAAGAUUUAACGGUCUCUGCCGUUCCACGAGCAGUCGGAUGAAUCCUGCACUGCCAGCAGAAAUAUAAAAUAAAUUCCAAACCUGUUUUUAAAAUAUUUAGCGUUUGUACAAAAAGGGUUUGAUGUGAGGAGCGUGGGGAGUUUUCACAAACUAGCUUUACUGAACAAUUCAAUGGGUGCUCCACUUGACUCCUCUUAAAAUAUCAGUGAUGAAUUGGUAAAACUUUGUUUGAAGGUUGUGAAUUUGUUUUUUGUUUUUUUCAAUCAACUUCUUGUUAUAAGUGAUAGUAGCACAGGUUUUUCGGUUACCAAAAUUAGAACAGCUUUUUUGAGAUUUUAUGCAUUUUUUUUGUCUGCUCAGCAAUAAUAAAUGGGCGGGGCACCGAAAUAUCACUGUCAACCAACAGGGAUUUUUGAUUCCUAUCAACAAUGUGGGGGCGGUCAAUUAAUUGUGAUCAAACCGCACCCCAAGGUUUUGUUGUUGUAAUGUUGGCUUUACAAAAUCGUGUAGCAUUUAUAGAAUGUUUAAAAUGAUCAAAUUACCAUUUUGGGGUGAAUUAUAAUUUUUUAAAAUCCCGUUAAAAGAAACCUAACUGCCCUGCAGCCCUUUUCUGAUAACAUUUGGCGUCAGGUAACAAUUUAAGACAGAUGGGCCUGCAUUACCAUUCAAAUGUGCCAAACAAGCAAAUUCUCACAAAUGAAUAAUGACGACACUUUGGAAAAGUAAUUGUAUCCAUUCUUUUCCAACACCUUUUACGUCGUUUGUACUAAUUGCAGCCAAGAUACCGCUUGUCAGUUGAGCCACUCAAAGUCCCAUGUUGAAGCCGUCUCUUCUAAAUGUAACCCUGAUGUUUGACAAACGCUCCAAGCCCCGAACUCUCUUCAAUUAUAAAAAAUACAAAAUAAACGUUAGCCCGUCAACUCGGUGUACAUUUGGCAGCAGAAAGGCAUCCCUAUAUUUUUGGAGCGCGUAUACCGUUGACUCUUUUGAAGGUGUUUGUCUACGGAGUGUCAGAGCUGUCAAAUGAAGUUGUCACGUAAAACAUGUCACUGCGACAUCCAAUAUCCAGCCCCCCGUCCACUCGCUGACAGAACGACGCUCCCUCUGUUAAAUCCUCUUCCUUCCUCGGCACAGUAGGACUUCAUAAACAAACAAACCGGAGACAAAAGACAGCCGAAAGACUCUCACAUGUCGAAAAGAUUUGACUCUUUGAAAGCCGACAAAAGAUGGAAGCUCUUCCAGUGAGAAGAGACUCGCUCGCUUUAACUACCCGUAGCUUUUGAAUCGCAUUAUAAUACAUGAGGACUCUGAGGCAGAGAGGUGCUCUCCCCUGGUUCCUAAUGUAUGACUAUUUCAUAUGGACAGGGAAGGGGGAAGACGAGGGGGGGGGGGGGAGUGAUUGACACGGGCCCACAUUAGGAGCAGCUUUUGGAAAUAAGUCCGCGGAGACUCGGCGGAUCGGGGUCUGCCGAAGGAGCGGUUUCCUCCGCGAGGAGAUGUGCCUUCUUAACCCCACUCAUUGGUAUGCCGAUGCGCGGGGUAGCGAGCCGUGCUCCGAGCGCCGCCGCCUUCCCAGACUGCCCCCGCCGCCCCGUCCACCCAACACGCGGGCUACGCAGACACAAUUCCACCGAGGACCCGUGACGAAAAUGCAGCGUGGAAUACUGAAUCAAGAAAGACGGCAAUUAAUAAUCACAUAGUUAGUUCCUUUUUGUUGGCCUCCUCGGGAGCUCAUGCCCACGCGAGUUUCAGCACUCAAAAAGUUUGGUUUAGUUUUUUCCUCGAUUCGCUGCAACACACACACACGCGCACGCACACGCACACAGGCAAGGCGUCAACAUGUCAUCUUGGUGGAAAUAAGAAAGCAGAGGCCCUUGAGUCUGUCCCUCCCAUCCCACCCGCGUGUGACAACACACGGGCAAAAUAAAAUGUUUAAAUUUGGUUUUAGAUCUCACUUCUUGGUUGCUUGAAUGAGAGAAAAUAACAUGUCAGCAUUGAGACACAUUCUGCUGUCAGGCAGGAAAACAGAAUAUCACUUUACCCUAUUGUGACUUUGAACUAUAUGACGGUAAGCAGACAGAUUGUUUUUGUCACAGAACUAACUGACCUUGAACCCGAGCGUUCUCUUUUCAAACUCUUCCUCCGUACAUCUAAAAAUAUUCCCAUCAGAAGCGAACUGAUAGGAUUUACAAGACCUAAUGUCAUUGCAAAGAAAUAUUACCACAAACAUACAGUACAUAUUUUUGUCUUUAUCGUUGGAAGGGAGUUAUCAUUUAGCAAGCUUUGAGGUCCAAGGUGAGACAGGAAUAUUUGAGUAUGCCUAAUGAAAGGCAAUAUAAAAGGUGCCUCUUGGGUUGUUUGAAAUCAGUUUGUUUUGUUUCUCGGCUGCGUUACAUGUGCUGGCACUAAUUAUACAAGCUAGGUAGUCCUCGCACAUUCAAAAAAGAAAACUCGACCAUUUUUGACAUGUUCAUUUAAAGUUACUAAUCAGAUGUAAAUAUGCAAAGCAGGUCCCGAUGGGAUUUCUUUGAUAUGCAAAUUGAAGUGCAAACAAAGGUGGGGGACAUGAAGGUUUUUUUUUUUUGCGGGUUUCUUUCUCCUUUUUUUCAGAAAUAAAAAGAAAAUCUGGGAGAAUGUAUUGUCAGGACAUUCUGUUGGAAAAGAAAAUCGUGAUAUACCACCUCUAACGUCUUUUAGUGUGACCGAGGCCAGAGCUUGUCGCAUAGCUUCAAAUGCUUGAACGUGAUGAAAGUAAAACAGUUUCACCAAAGCCAAUUGUUUUACUCUUAUUCAUACAUCAAAUGUAGCGUCCGAUAAGAAUCUUGUCCCGUUUGCUAUUGGCCUUCAUCCGAACAUGUAAAUGGGCAUGACGCCGCUCUUCCCCCUCCUCCUAUCAAAACAGCAACUUACUGGCCAGUUAUCUGUCUGAUGGGAUGUAAAGGGAAGGUCAGUGUUUCCAUAAUUCACUCCAGAACCAUAAAUCAUAUUAUAUGAUCUCCCCUGCGCGGGGAGCUGGUGAGUGCUGUUCACUCUGACUGCAGAGAACGUAUAAUGUGGCACUCAUGGGCGCAGGUGGAGGUUUUAAAGACGCUGUUUCCCUCUUUCUGCCGAUUGCUGUCCACAUGCGCGUUGGGAUUAAUCGUUAAAAUCGUAAAUGCAAUCACCAUUUGCUGCGCGUUAGCACAAUGUUAGCCGUCCUCCUGGCGCUCUCACUGUAGCUGACAAAAGUCCCUUUGUGGUCAGCGAUGAGAAGCAAUGGAGGGAAACUGACUUUUAUUGACACGGGGCUGUCAGAAUGGAGACGGCGCCGCUGUUCAUUUCCAAUUUCAGCCCACAGAUUGGAAUCCACCGCUGGGCUCUCCAGUGUCUCAAGCACCAUUUUCUGAACCUAUGGUGUGGAAAACAUGAUUUAAUUCCUGUUCAAUGCUUUUCAUCAGAUUCUCCAUCUCUCCAAAUCGUCUUUGUGUGGCAUCAUAUUGAAGGAGUAAUUGUGCAUCACUGUGGAGGGUGGAGUGCUACAUCCUCUGGUAAAGCCAGGGGUAAAAUUAUAGGCCAGACAGUUGAGCUUCACAAUAUUAUGAGUGAAAAUGUAGCUUGAUUACUUGUAUCCGUGGCAUAUUUACCUCUUUUGACCUGCUCAAAAAUGAGAGAUACUCAGGCACCGUUUCAGUGCAAUAUGCUGCUUCUUCUGCCCUGUACUGAUUGUUCCCCAACGCAAUCUCACAGAAACAUGUGAAAUGACCAUCACAUGGCAUUCGAAAGCUCCGUGGAAUGUAUUUAACGGUACAGAAGACAAAACAAAUGUUUGGUUUAUAAGCAAGAAAAUAACUAAAAUAACAAAAAGUAGGUUUGUAGUAGGUCUACAGACUAUAAAGCCCUCUGAGGGAAAUUUGCAAUUUUGGGCUACACAAAAUAAAAUUAAUUGAAUUGAAUUGAACAGGUUUAGGCAACUAAGCCACUCAAUUGGGUUGAGGAAAUAAAUCGCGGUAGGGCUUAAAAUAAGUCAAUGUGUUUACGUUACAACAAGCACUUAAAAUUAGCAUGCAUUCUUAGGUUAAGGCAAGAAAAUCUGUUAAAACCGCAUGGUGGACUUAAAAUAAGUGCGUAAAUGUAGGUGUAGGGAGAAUAUUCCCUCAGUUAGGUCAGGAAAAAACUCAUGUUGGGAUUAUAAUUAGGGCUGUCAAUAGAUUAAAAAUAAUUAAAAAUUAAUCGCACAUUUUAAAAUGCAUUAAUCUUGAUUAAUGGCGAUUAAUGAAUGUUGUUGUUAUGUAGUUUUUAAUGAAUGUUUGUUUUUCUUCUAAAGACUGAAUCUCACACAUAAUGUGUAAUCACUUUAAUUGUUAAUGUUAUUUUAAAUACAAAACUACACACAUUUGCUUAUCUCGGAGGCACAUGUUGAACUAGCAACUCUUCCCGCUAGCUUAGCAUAGCAGUGCUUUAAGUGGUCCGUUUACCACUCACCCCCCCUCUGUUUGAUACAUGGAGCAAUUUGUCUGCACAGUACUGUAGGCCGCACCUGUCACGGUGUGGUUCACUUCCUGUUAUAUUUUGUAGUUUUCUGCCACUCGUGUCCCCGGGUAACUUCACUUCCUGCGUUGUCAUGUCAUCCCCUGUGAUCGUCUAAUAGUUUCCACCUGUGUCCAAUCACCUGCACCUCCCUAGUGUAUUUAAGCCGUGUGUGUCUGUUGUCACUUGUCGCGUCAUUGUCUUUUGCCACGCAUGUCCUUGUCUUUCAUCGUGGAUGGUCGUAGUUCCUGUCUUGCUUUUGCCUUUUUGACAAUUAAAGUCUUUUGCUUUCCAAGAAGUCUUCGUUUGAGUCUUGCCUCCUCCACCCAUCCUUGACAGCACCUCUGUUUGGUACGUUAACUACGUUAAAAUAUUUUGUCGCAUUAAAUUCGUGAGAUUAAUCGCAUAGAUUAACGCGCUUAGGUUGACAGCCCUAAUUAUAAUACGUACGUAAAAUUAGGUUUAGAUGACAUAAAAACCAGAAAUAAAUCUUUGUUGAACCAUGAAUAAGUGUGUAUUCGUUUUUGAUAACAUUCAUGAAUUUAGGAUUAAGCAACAAAUAACGAGUAGCAGUAUGUUAUAGAAAAACUGAAGUACUUAAACUUAAAAUAUAUUUGUAAAUCUAAUUUAGGGAACAAACCCACUGUGAAAGGUUAAGCGAUUACAUCAAGAACAUAAAUCCUGUCCACCUCCCAUCCAUGUCGUCUUUCUCUGCGGUCCCCAACCUUUUCUUCCCCACGGACUGUUUUCAUGGCAGACAGUAUUUCGCGGGCCGGUCAUGGAGAUCACGGUCACGGAUAAACACGACAAUUGUAUAAGGUGAAAAAAAACGCUUGGUGACGCUUGGGAAAUAAGUCGAGAGGGUCGAGUGCAUGUAAUUAGGAGGGAAACUGGUCAAUUUUCAAAAUAUAUAUUUUUUCAGAAAAAAAGUCAAAUGAUGAGGAAAAAAAAAGAUUCUUUCUGUGGUGCAGCCUGGUACCAAAUGGCCCACGGACCAGUACCGGUCCACAGCCCAGUGGGUGGGGACCCCUGGUCUAUCUCACUAGUGGUAUCACAUUACUACUUGUAAGCAUUGGAUAUUAUAUUUUAUAUACGUGGAUGCAUUGAAUGUUUUUUGCUGUUGCUGACAUGUCAUCUCAACACAUUACGUGCCACCACCACUAAAUGGGCUUUAAGGAGGUUGUGGUAAGUUCUGUUGGAUUAGGUUGCCGUUCACAAUACUGCGAUAGUGUUCUUUUUUAGUGCAAGUGACUCAGGGACUGCAGUAACAGCAGAGACAACAACUGCAACUAAUGAAAAGUGACCGUAAACCGAUGGCUGGCUGCAUGAUCAAUAUUUUAAUUACAUCUUUGCGGAAAGCACCAUCAUGCUGCUUUUUCAGCAAUAAUGCGUUUUAUUCACGUGGAAGCUGAAUGCGUUAUUCUCCCAAAUACACUAUCCAAACUUUCAACCACAUCUCCUAGCCGUCCUCAGUGGAAAGAGCAUUGCUCCGUUUUGAUGGAGAUGGUCUAGAUGUUAUCACAUUACUUAAGAAUCAAACUUAGCUAGUAGGCGCAAAACAUGGGCCCUGACUUAUUCAAGUGGCCUUUAUUUGUCCGGGUUCUCUUUAUUUUAAGACAUGUUGACGUGUCCUGAGAAAAAGGCUUCAAAACAACUUUUAUUACAGCAUGGCUGGAUUUCUGUUUACCCAGCUUGCUAAUCAUAAGAGGGCCUGCUGGCGUCGGUCCAGCUACAACGCAAACCACUUAGCUGCCAGUUAAGCACUUUGCUAACACUUUGCUAACGUAUAGUCAGUCAGCUGAGAUGGUGCAGCACAGUUAAAGGGAUUCCAUAUUUUAAAGUUUUCACUCUUUUCAUAUUCAUUAUCCGUAAUCCUGCUCUUAGCCGCCCGUCUGAUACAUCCUGUAUUAUCAUUACUGAAAGGAUGCCUCAACGUUUGGGUGAAGUGUUUAUGCUGCGAGCCUUGAGAGAAUUCACCUGUAAAUGAACUUCACGGUGGUAUUUUGGCACAGCACAAGCUGGUUUCAUGAAGAAUUAAGUAACAACUUUGAUAAAAAACCCUUACGGAUGACAAACAUUUAAUAAUCUUAAGAUGCAGUUCAUGGCUCUAACUAUUAUGACUUUAUUGACAUCAAUAUCUCAGGUGUUGUUCAUGAAAACAUAUAUCGUAAUUGCUUCAGGUAGAAGGGAUUUAUCACAGAAAUAUCCAUCAAGCCAUGUAUAUUCUACCUGUUGACAGGCUAUUGUGGCAAGACCGGGGCCGGGAAGAAAUAGAGAGAGGGAUUUAUUAUCCUGUAUUGAAGUUCACCCCAAAAGAGCUAGCAUUUCACAGGAGCCGCACGCUGACCUUUCCGACAGCCAAAAAUGUCAUUGAAGGUUUAAGGCAAAGAAAUCCAGUUGUAUUUAACCAAGCCUUCAAAAUCUUUGACAUUUCUUCUGAUGUUGCCACAGGAUGGCACCCUGAAGACUUGGACCUGGCCUUCUCAUAGAGCGCCACAGCUUUCUACUCACACGGGCUUCACAUGGAAGCAGCCGUGUGUCUUCACUGUGAAAAGGAAGGAUUUAGAUACGGUAUCGCAGUAGAUAAUAUAUAUGAUUUGAGCCUUAUCUUUUUGUUAUAUUUUGAGGCACUUUUAGUCUUUUCUCUCUCUCAUGAAUGGGUUAUUAAUUAGGAGAGAGUUGCAUUAUGCAGACUCUUAAUGCUCCCUUUUCUCCCGUACACAUGUAUACACCUUAUUUACAUCUUCAUUUUAUUUCCCUCCCUCAAGCUUUUCAGUAUGUCCCUUCCUCCAUUAACCCAAACAUAAUGGCUCACACAUCCACAAACACACACACACACACACACACACACACACUUCACUGAAUCAGUAUGGUGUCAGACUGCAUCUUCCCUGCCACUCACUAAAUUGGAGCGAGAGCAGAGCUGCGCUCAGGCAGAACAAGACUAGGAAGUGCUAAAGCUAGAGACAGGAACAAGGGACAGGCAUUGGGUGGUGGGGGGGGGGGGGGGCGGCUGUGAAAGAGAACACAGGGCUGGUGGGUGAGGGGGGGGGGCGGCGCAAACUUACAACACCCCUGGAUACCGCCGCGGUGGUCCCUCGCUCACAUCCCCCCUAAUGCCAGUUGGCAACCUCUUGGAGAGGCACACUCCCUCCACGCUCACGCAAACAAACGCACACAGACCCUUUCAGAAAAGGGACCCGAUGGCGUUGGGAAGCGUUGGGCUUUAGAUGAGGCCGCAGAUCGAAGCCUUGCGUAGUCCUCGCCGUGACACCACAAGGAAACGCGAACCGUCCAUCAGGCGCCACUGACGAUACGGUAUUUACCACCAAAGUGAAAAUGCUUUGUUUUCUUCAUUCACCCAAUAUCGCAUAACACAUUCUCUCUUUUUUACAACGCACGUAACUGCAUCUGGCAUUCAGAUAUCUGAGAUGGGAAGACGGAAAAAUUCAGUCCAGCCCAGAAUCGUUUAUAUAAACUGUAUUUUAUAAAUGAUUGACUGAUAACAGAAUACAAUUCUGAAGUCUAGGGUGAGACCUUGUUUAAAGAAAUGUCUCCAGAGGGAGCCGGUUGAAGUCUGAUACAUCUCCUAAUAUUCGCCUCUUAUUUGACAAACAGGAGAGUAAUGCAUUUGUGAGUGACAUUGUGAAUUGAAACAAAUAUCUGAUGAGUUUUGGGUUUACGGGGGACACAAACAAAAGGUCCCCUGAUUAAAUGGACGAUUGUGACACAUAAUCUGCCAAAUGUUUCUUCCCUUUUAAGCCAAACAGUACAAAUAUCUUGGUGGUCUAUAAAUAACUACGUGGGCUGUAACAUAAAUGGGACUUCACCUACUGAGCUGCCCCUUUUAGCACCGGCCCCCUUAAAGUAGGUCGCGACAUUAAAACCAAUGGUGAGAUGAGAAAGUUUCAGACCUGAAUUUUCCUCCGGAUCCAACUGGAAAGUGUCUGAACGUUGCAGGUGGACACACAAGGGGCUUCCGUCUGCAAACCACCACAUUCAUCUAUUCUGCACAAUAUAAAGUAGUUGCAGUGAAACUUGGGCCGCGAUUACCAUCUUCAGGUUGAUGCACGAGGCUCCUGCGGGCCGGCACUGGAACACAGCAACGGCAUAAAUAUUCUAGACAAAGCCUGUCUGCUCAGGUGGUCUGAAGGUCUGACUAAGAGCAUUUGAUGUGAGCUCAGAAAUAACAGAAAUCAGCCAAGAAACAUUCAUAUUUCGUUUGUGUGUAUUAAGAGUGCUGCAGCUCAACACUUGUUAUUUUAAAGAUCAGCUCCCAGUGUUUCGUGCCAGUGUCUUUGGCUCCCCGCCAGCAGUCACACCACAGCUUUGUCCAUCUGGCUGCACUUUCACUCUUCUUCUCAACACGUUCAUCUUUGUUCACACCUGAAACCUUGCGCUUGUAUUCAGGAACUGGCUGCGCGUGACUCGCUUGUAUCUUCAACGGCGGACUCGUCCAUAAGUUUGUGAAUAAUUAUUCAUUGGCAUGAAAAAGAAAAACACAUUGUUUUCAUGUGACGUUUGGUUGGUGUCCGGUGUCCUUUCACAGAAAACAAUAGCGGUUGCCUUUUGCACCGGUCGGAGCAAGUCAUUUAGAAAGAAAGACUUUCUAUCUUUCUAUAUGAAUUAAUUACAAAUGCUUCGAAAUGUCAAGUAUAGAUAAAGCUUAAUACCCUGUCUCCUCCCUUCUGCAACAGAGAAGCUUUUAAAUGGCUCUCUGCCAGCCCCUAUCUGCCAAACGACACCAAGGUUACUGGGGGAAGCUGAAAUAUUCAUAAUAUAUGCAAAACCACCGCUGUCCACGGACAGUGUUCAUUGGAAUUCAAGAGCGAGCUUCAAACCUUUGACAACUGCUUAAGUAAUUAGUUUUGCUGGGAGAGCGACAAACCCCCCCCCCCCCCCCCAACCAACACACACUCUGUCGGCGCCGCAGCUGAAACCGGCAAGUAAAUAUUAGAGCGUUUUUUCGGUUUAAUAGUCUAAAUGACUGUGUUAAGGAACACUUGUUUGGUUUUGAGCAAUCGGAAUUGAUCUAAAGAUCCGUUGGUGUGAAAUAAUAUGUCGUCUGUGUUUGACCAGAUGCAUUUGGACCACGAAGCCGGAGUUGCUGCGUUAUUCUCGUUGAGUAUUUUGAGGAAUUGCCUCCCAAUUUGAAAGUGCAACGCAAGCAAAAGGCAGCACACAAAAAAAGGUUCAUUUUGUGUGAAUCGUGCAUGUUUCAUCGAGAUUCUUGAACCCCGCGUGACGGAAAAGUUGCGCAACGCUCAACUUUGGUUUUUGACCUCCCCCCCUCCAAAAAAGCCCCUCCUGCCUAAUUCUUCCCGGGCCUGACUUUUCUGUUUGCGGCCAAUGUUUUAUUAAUGGCGGACGACAAUGAACAACAUGUUUUGUGCUGAAACAAUGGAAUUGGGUGUCGGACACGGACUCGUACCCCCCCCCCCCGAGGCCCUUCGUCACCGGUCAGUUCGGAGUCGCAGCACAAUGAGAAUCACGCCUGAAUUGGAGAGCAGCCAAAGCCCAUCAGAGCAGCUCCUCGUGCCGCACGCGUUGCCCCGGCCUGUUAAUGUGAGGAGGCCGUGUUUUUGUGUUUACUAAGCACGGUUUGCUUCUAAUUAAAGUGAAAUAAUUAUACUUCAAAGGCGCAGGGAGGCAGGGGGAAACUGUUCAAAGACGGGAGCACCUCCCGCGGAGUCACGUGGGCCGCUGCUCGGCAAACGCCGGAUGGCGGAAAAUUAAUCAGAAGGAUUGCGGAGAUAUUAGGAGUCGUUUUUUUUUUAUUACAGAAGUAAAUCACAGUCGAUUUUUCACGUUAAUUACCAUUUCUGAACACACACACACACACAGCUAAAUGUUUUGAUUUCACAGGCGUUCAUAAUUUACAAUGUUUGAAUGAUAACAUAUGUAUCCCAGUGAGCAGAUGUCCCCUCUCGUGUUUGAUUAUUUAUAGACGAGGUUUUCACGUUGAACGCGGCAGCUCAUUGACGCCUUCUCGCAGGGAAAACAUGCCCAGACGCCUCGGACCCACAAAUCAAAGGGACUCGGGUGCCGUGUGAGCUAAGUGGGUGUAAUAUGAACAUGCACGUCUGACUCCAAGGCUCGGUUCAUGCAGCCAUGGCUGGUGUGAACAAUCGGACCACCCCCUUUUUUUUUUUUUUUUUUUUUUUACGAGCGCAAGUGUCCUUGUCCUUGGGAAGGCGAAGGUCGACGCGUCGUCCCUCCCCCCCCCACACCGCCUCUCUCCCGCUGUGGCGCUUCCACCGGCCAUUCAUUUGGGCCUGUGAUGGCUCUAAUAACAUCUCCAUCACAUUAAAAAUGAACCAGGCUGAGGAGAUGUUAAUACUCCCCUGCACUCGCUGCGGAUAAAUUGGUCAUGUAUUACAACAAGUGCUUUUUAAGGGCCUCCGCGGCCAAGUCUACGGACACGCGGGAUAUUCAUGGCUGCCUGCAUGUGAAGCUCUUAACACGGUGGAUUUUCAAGUUGUGACAGUUCAAGGGAAGCGGCGCUGUUAACAUAUUCAGAAUGGUCCUGUAGCAAGGCCGUUCCUCCAAUUCCUCUUUGCAUCUCCGCCGCUCGGCUGACAAGGUUGCCUUUUAUUUUAUUUUUUAAACAUGGAGAUUAGAGAGGAAUGCUGCAAACGCUCAGCUCAAAGGCGGCAUCCGCUAAAAGGACGGUGGUGGAUUCGAAGCGGCGAGCCAGUGCAUGUGAAGAACAAACCGUAUGAACAGCUAUGAGUUUCUUUCACGAAAAUGUGCUUGUAAUGUGGUUUGAAAUUGUCUAGCAUGCUAGACUGAUGGCGUUUAUGCUGCUUUCAUGUAAAUAAAAUAAAGAUUUAAUUUAAGUCUGUUAAUGGUUCUUGAAUAGGUUUUAGUCAGAUUCAUACUUGGCCACUUUGCAUGACUUUCCUGAUCUGAUCUGAUAUAGAUCUAGAUUUCAGAUCAUCAUCAUCAUAUCACCGUUUCUUUUCAAAGAUACAUUCAUCUUUUCAUCACUGUCCUUUUCAAUGUGAGUAGUCGUGUUCCAUGUGGGAAACAGCAAACGUUACUACAAAGGAUCGGAUCCUCUCGUCACCUUUAAUCUGUUGCUAUUUGUUUACAUGUCCAGAUGGAUAAAGAGAGCCAGAGAAUUCGGUCCUCGGCUAACUGUCACCGCCGGGUCGCCGCGGCGACGCGGGGAUUGAUGGCGCCCGUUGGCUGGUGAAAAUGUAUACAUCACGUUGGUCCAGGGCUGCCGCAUCCGGAUGGACCAUCCAUUGUCUGUCAGGGACACAGCUGUCUGAGAAGCCACGGCCUCCCCUCCUCCUCCCCUCCUCCUCCCCCCCCUCUCCUCCUUCCUAACGAGGGCUUCACCCGUCGUCUACGGCGGGGAGGAGGCGGCUCUCUCCAAGAGGCCAGAUGAAGACGACGCACACAGUUUGCCGUCAGAGCGCCGGCGCGCGCAUUGAUUUGUCAAACACUUUUUUUUUGUCUGAGUGGAGAAAAGAAAAAAGGAAAAAAAAAAGGUCUCAAUGUAACAUUUUGAAGUGUCGGGACUCGAGCAUCUCGAGGGAGUAUUGUGGAAGGGUGAAGGAUGCGGUUGCAAAAAAAAAGGUUACUAACACUGUUUUUCAAAUUCAGAGAAAACGAUGAGGCGUUUGUCUUACCAGGACGAGGCGCGGCUGAAUUAUCAGUUAUUGAUUCUGACAGAAAUGAAGCGUUUGUAUUCAGAAGUCGCAAGUAAACCUCAAUUUAAAGUUUGUACGCCCUUAAGGAAGUUGUUGUAUGUACAAAAAAACCCACAACAUGUUCAAUAACUGCGCUCUCGUCUAUCUGGGCCUUCGAAUGCUUUCCAAAUGAUCCUAAAUUCUACUUUAAUUAUUUCAAACACUCGUGUGAGUCUUUCUGAAAGUCAUCGCAGCAAGUAGAACAAACCGACGUCACAAACAUGCGUCUCCCGCUGCAUCAUCACUAAACACUGCGGCGGUUUUAUUCUAACGCCUCAUGAAUUCUCCCAACCAUCUCCCCUUCACCCCGUGUCGUUUUCUACAGAGGUCAAGCAAAAGUGUAGGAGUCCUGGAUGUUAGGAGGUAAUUAUUUUGACUUUUUUCAAUACUUACCGUACUUUACAUGGAGCCACUGCCAGCAGCCAGUUUGCUUGGCUUAGCAUGAAUAAAAGGUGCCGAGGAAAGCAGCAGCUACUCUGUAAAACAGCCUGGCUGUCGAUGCGUAUUUUACCUACAACAUAUAUGAGGCUGGUACGAAUAUUCACACAUU
ensembl:lncRNA